UGCAUUUCUGCAUACGUCAGCGCAUCUACGUCCAUGGCGGUGCACUGCAGCUCGCGACGGUGGGAACCACCGGUUCGUCGUUGCACGUGUGGCCUACUUAAUUAUAUUAUGUGAACACUAACCAACGUACUGUCAGCGUGUGGCGGUUUUGAGAUGUAUUUUGACAUGAGGUUACCAAGCAUUAAAUACCCUAUUGUCUAUUACUCCAACACAGUAACACAUUGAUUAAUGGAUCAUUGAUGAAAGAUUAGCAAGUGCCAAGUUAUGAUUAAGUCACAUGACGAUCGACGGCCGUGUAGGGGCCCGGGGGUGCCGCAUAGCAGACAGCAGUGAGUAGUGACAACAGCGCCCAGCUAUGUGAGCGCACUAGCGCAGUCCCCCCACCCAGCGAGUAGCUCGGCUGUAUAC